rnacentral:rRNA from 1 species
UGGACAGAAAGACCCUAUGAAGCUUGACUGUAGCUUGGAAUUGAGUUCGGGCUCUUCUUGCGCAGCCUAGGUGGGAGGCAGUGAAGGUUUUCUUUCGGGAAAGCUGGAGCCAUCAGUGAGAGACCACUCUGGAGGAGCUAGAAUUCUAAUGGCGUUCCUUGAAGCAGGACGCUUGACAGUUUCAGGUGGGCAGUUUGACUGGGGCGGUCACCUCCUAAAAGGUAACGGAGGUGUGCAAAGGUUCCCUCAGGCUGGACGGAAAUCAGUCGUAGAGUGUAAAGGCAGAAGGGAGCUUGACUGCAAGACCUACAAGUCGAGCAGGGGCGAAAGCCGGCCUUAGUGAUCCGACGGUUCCAUGUGGAAGGGCCGUCGCUCAACGGAUAAAAGUUACUCUAGGGAUA